rnacentral:rRNA from 1 species
GACGAACGCUGGCGGCGUGCUUAACACAUGCAAGUCGAACGGUGACGAGCAGCUUGCUGCUCUGAUCAGUGGCGAACGGGUGAGUAACACGUGAGCAACCUACCCUUGACUCUGGGAUAACAGCUGGAAACAGCUGCUAAUACCGGAUACGACCUCGACCGACAUCAGUUGAGGUGGAAAGUUCUGGCGGUCAAGGAUGGGCUCGCGGCCUAUCAGCUAGUUGGUGAGGUAACGGCUCACCAAGGCUUCGACGGGUAGCCGGCCUGAGAGGGCGACCGGCCACACUGGGACUGAGAUACGGCCCAGACUCCUACGGGAGGCAGCAGUGGGGAAUAUUGCACAAUGGGCGCAAGCCUGAUGCAGCAACGCCGCGUGCGGGAUGACGGCCUUCGGGUUGUAAACCGCUUUCAGCUCCGACGAAGCGCAAGUGACGGUAGGAGCAGAAGAAGGACCGGCCAACUACGUGCCAGCAGCCGCAGUAAUAC